rnacentral:sRNA from 1 species
UCACUAGGGUGGCUGACCUAUUGUCGUUGAUCAGGCGUCGUCCGUUAACAGUUUUACAUUUUAACAUCUUGAAAGCUACAAGGACUUAGGUAAAUUGUUACUUGGUCAUGUUUUAUUAAAAUAUAUAUUCUUUUAAGAAUCUAAUUUCAUUUCCUUUGCAGUGUGUUUGCUAGUAGCAAUAAAUUGUAUGCAUGUUGUGUGCAUUAUAAAUGUAACUGUGAAUAUUAUUAAAGACUGACCAUU